rnacentral:rRNA from 1 species
GACAGAGGAUGCAAGCGUUAUCCGGAAUGAUUGGGCGUAAAGCGUCUGUAGGUGGCUUUUUAAGUCCGCCGUCAAAUCCCAGGGCUCAACCCUGGACAGGCGGUGGAAACUACCAAGCUGGAGUACGGUAGGGGCAGAGGGAAUUUCCGGUGGAGCGGUGAAAGUGCGCAGAUAUCAGGAGGAACACCAAUGGCGAAGGCAGCUCGCUGGGACGGUACUGACGCUCGAGACGCGAAAGCAUGGGGAGCGAACAGGAUUAGAUACCCGGG